rnacentral:rRNA from 1 species
GAUGAACGCUGGCGGCGUGCCUAAUACAUGCAAGUCGAGCGAACAGACGAGGAGCUUGCUCCUCUGACGUUAGCGGCGGACGGGUGAGUAACACGUGGAUAACCUACCUAUAAGACUGGGAUAACUUCGGGAAACCGGAGCUAAUACCGGAUAAUAUAUUGAACCUCAUGGUUCAAUAGUGAAAGACGGUUUUGCUGUCACUUAUAGAUGGAUCCGCGCCGCAUUAGCUAGUUGGUAAGGUAACGGCUUACCAAGGCAACGAUGCGUAGCCGACCUGAGAGGGUGAUCGGCCGCACUGGAACGGAGACACGGUCCAGACUCCUACGGGAGGCAGCAGUAGGGAAUCUUCCGCAAUGGGCGAAAGCCUGACGGAGCAACGCCGCGUGAGUGAUGAAGGUCUUCGGAUCGUAAAACUCUGUUAUUAGGGAAGAACAAAUGUGUAAGUAACUAUGCACGUCUUGACGGUACCUAAUCAGAAAGCCACGGCUAACUACGUG